rnacentral:misc_RNA from 1 species
AAGUCGUAACAAGGUUUCCUGGUGGAUCACUGCGGAAGGAUCAUUACAGAGAACCUGCCCUCCGGGGUGGAUCUCCCACCCUUUGCUUACCUCACCUUUGUUGCUUUGGCAGGCCCGUCCCCCGGGACCGCCGGCUCCGGCUGGCCAGCGCCUGUCAGAGGACCCCCAACUCUUGUUUAAUUGUCGUCUGAGUACUAUAUAAUAAGUUAGAA